rnacentral:rRNA from 1 species
UACGGAGGAUGCGAGCGUUAUCCGGAUUCAUUGGGUUUAAAGGGUGCGCAGGCGGCCUGCCAAGUCAGCGGUGAAAGCCCGGGGCCCAACCCCGGAAGUGCCGUUGAUACUGGUGGGCUGGAAUGCGGUCGAGGCGGGCGGAACGUGGCGUGUAGCGGUGAAAUGCGUAGAUAUGCCACAGAACGCCGAUAGCGAAGGCAGCUCGCCAGGCCUGCAUUGACGCUCGGGCACGAAAGCGUGGGGAG